UGGAGAUUCAAAUUUUGAGCUCUUUAUUUAGACAUGGUUGCGUGAAGAUAUUUCAUUGUUUGAUGUUGCUAGGGACACAGGCACUGGGACAGCUGAGGAAUAUACAUAAGUCAUGAGCCUUGGCUUUGGUAACCCGCUGGCAGGAGCAGCAGUUUGCCACAGGUCCGGACCUGUCUCCCUCCCACACAGCCACACUGCCUCAUGCAGACUGACCCACCCAGCAAGGGUGCAUUUAAAUACCCAUUGUAUUCUCCAGUUGUUUUUAAGCUCUGCUUUGUAAUAGAGCUUGUGACUGCCAAAAAUCUCGUGCACGUUGAUAUGACUUUUAGGAUUUUAAGGGUAGAAUUUUGUGAAAGGUAGCAUGAUGUUAUAGAAGAAAAAGCAGGGACUGUGACAUCAGAAGACCUGACCUUUUAUUUCAGAUCUCUGCCAUGUCCUAAUGAUGUGACCGUGGGCAAGUCAUAGAACCACUUUGGGUCUCAGUUUCUUCACCUGUAAAAUGAGGACAGUAAUACCUACCUUUUAAAGUUGCCUCAAGGAUUAAAUGACAGAACGUAUGUAAAACACCUCACAAGUAGAGGACACUUGGCAAAUGUUCUUUUCUCUCCUGUAAUUAGCAUAUAAACUCAAGUGUAUUUUGGUUAAAGAUAUUGGUGAUGCUUUUUAAAUUAUGAGAUAGGGUAUUGAGCUGACACCAAUGCAGCAGCUGUUCCAGAUCAACACUGCUAGAAUAUAGGGCUGACUUUUCAUUGUGGCCUCUGAAGGACGUGCAGCUCAGCUUUCAUCUAGCCCCACCUCCAACCAAGCCAAACAUAAGAAUUGUUCAUUCAAACUGGAAACGAUCUGAGACUCCUCUUGAGCAUAUUCUAAGACAAGCAUCUGAAAAUUACUAUUCUUAAAAGUUACAAAUAAAUAUCCUUUAACAAUACUUACCAAACUAGUAACCAGCAAGUCCCUUUAUGAGGAUGCAUGAUUAUAUGAGCUCAAGUGGUUGUCCAGUUUGUUUUGAUGCCAUGUCUUCCAUUUGCUUUUAAAUUUCCACAGUGAGCUUCUGUCUUGAGGUCUGCUCCAGAACACUGAAGGAGUAUGUCGGGGACAUGCUCUACAGAUGAACACAUUGAGACCCAGAGAUGUUAAACGGCUUUUUCAGGUUCACACGCCUGGAACAGCAGCAAAGCCAGGAUGGGCACAUAGCUCUUGUGACUUCCAGCCCCUGCACUUUUCUCUUAACCACUUUAAUUUUAGAAAUAUAUUUGUGGUCAAAGUCUCUUUUGUAAAAUCCUAGUGUAACCUGGAUUAAAUAAUGUCUUUGUAACCUAA